rnacentral:rRNA from 1 species
CACGUAGGGGGCGAGCGUUGUCCGGAUUUAUUGGGCGUAAAGAGCUCGUAGGCGGCUCGGUAAGUCAGGUGUGAAAACUCUAGGCUCAACCUGGAGACGCCACCCGAUACUGCUGUGACUAGAGUCCGGUAGGGGAGCGUGGAAUUCCUGGUGUAGCGGUGAAAUGCGCAGAUAUCAGGAGGAACACCAGCGGCGAAGGCGGCGCUCUGGGCCGGAACUGACGCUGAGGAGCGAAAGCGUGGGGAGCAAACAGG